CAAUGUUGAACAGUUACCUCCAUGAUGGAGACUGUUGAACCCUUUACCAAGUCCAAGGACUUUCAUUCGACAAGUAAAAUUGUCUGGUGUUUGUCAUAAUAUUAUAUUGCAUGGAAUGAAGUUGGUAGAUAACGGGUUAGGGCUGCAUUUCAGUUAAAUAUCAGGAGUUUGGGGCAUCUCACUUGUUGAAUUGAUGUUGAAGGAUUGUGUACAUGGAAAUUCGAGUGUAAUUUUUAUACAUUUAUUUAGACCUAACCAGGAGAAGUUACGCAGCCUGUUCGCGGGUCCGAGGUUUUCUCCUGCGAAAUUAAUGCAACUGCACAAAACUAAAUGCC